AGGAUCAUCAUGAGGACGAUGAUAGAUCCAGAUAGACUGACACACAAAUCAUUUCCUUCGGGAUAGAUGAGUCUCCGAUCUACUGUGUAGAGACACAGGACGAUGAGUGCGGGUGGUUGUUAGAGAAUAAUUAGUACUGAGCGUGACCAUACGAAAGAUCACUUAGAUUUCUAUUCAAUCAUUAGUAAUUAUCUCGAUGCUGUAGUUGUGUGACUGGUCCUUUGACUUGAGAUGGUACUGCUGCUUGCAGUGAGGUUGCUGAAGUUUGACUGACACAUAAAUAUGGAUCUCAAUAAGCCCUUAUAGUGGAUGUCGGCGAUAGUUGGUCUAC
rnacentral:lncRNA from 1 species